rnacentral:lncRNA from 1 species
UUUUUUUUUGUUGGUGAACUUACAUGAUUGUAGUUCACGUCUGUGGCAAUAUAAGCUGGAGAAUACCUGCAAAUAUACCAACAGUUUAUAUAAUUAUGUCUCUAUUUUUCAAUUUAUAAGAUAGGAAAUUCUUUAAAACAAUUUGACCAUGGUUGCCAUCAUUGUUGUAUCAACUAUGUAAAAUAAAUUAAAUAUUGGGACUUAUCUUACUUCUUUUUAGAAUAUUUCAAGUAGUAUUCCUUCCUUUUAAUUUAGGAAAAAAGGUUUGAUAUACUCAUUAACUUUGUCAUUUAAAACUAAUAUAUUUAUCGUUAUAAAAUUGACAUAUAUCCUUUUUCAUCUAAGAGAAAAUGAUUUUUUUAAAACUAUUUUACCUUGGGUAUAGUCCAAAAUCAUUAAUUAUUAUAACUUAGUAUGUCCGCGCUAAUUUAGACGGUGUUACGCCAAAUCUUACCGCAUAAAGGAAAAAGGAGGGAGUCUUGUUAGUAAGAAUAAGGUCUCAUUUAUUUGCAUUUAAUGGAGGUUUGAAUCUGAAUGGUUCAAGCAUUAAGUUGAAUGAAAAACUAAUUAAACUAGAAUAAUAUUGAGAUCCAAAUCAAAAUAAAAAGAUUAGAGAGUAAUUAGGGUUUAUUUAUUUAUAUAUUUACCCAUAGAAAGGAAGAGGCUGAUGAUGGUGCUGAUGGUGAAAGGGUGAAGCCGGAGCUGCAGCUUGGGGUGCCGCAGCAGGAUAGUACCACUGCACGUGACUUGCAGGUGAUGCUGAAUUAGCCCUUGGUCCUACCACAUUAGCUCCUUCAACAUUUUUCAAUAAAAAUAUAAAAUAGAAAUUAGACUUCACAUAAUUUAUUAUCACAAAAAUCUAUCUCUAUUCAAUUUCCAUGUCAAAUCGAUAGAUGCAUAUUAAGUGUUUGCAUAUAAAUUUCUAUACAUAAUCAUGAUCAAUUCAUAAUACUAUAGUUUCAUCUUAUAAGUUCCCUUAACCAUGGUAAUUUGAUGUAAACAUUGAGUGUCAAUAAAUUCAGAUUCAUUAUUUAACAUGAUAAAUUAUAGAAAGAGAAAUAUUGAAAACAUGACGUACAUUAUCAAUUUCAUUCUCGAACUAUUGUAAGCCUUACAAACACCUCUUUAUUUGACUAAUUGAACUUAAAUACACCUUGAUCUUGCAAUAUGAGUGAUAUUCACCCUUAAAUUCUCCCCAAAUUUACGGGUACUCUUACAAUAGUUUGAGACUACUUGCUAUGUAUUCAUAUGACAGAUCGGAGAUUUAUCCGGGGUAUCAAAAUCUAGUUAAUCUAGUAAAGAAGUAUUUUUAAGACCGUCAGUAAUUCGAUAUAAAACUAAUAAUUUGUGUGAAGGAAAAAAUGUUUUCAAUACUUCUCUCAUAUAAUAAAAUUUUCCAUAAGAGGUACCUUGUUGAGGAGGAGGGGGGGGAGUGAUAGAGGGAGAGGGGCGGGAACGACGGGCGCCGAGGGACGCGAGAUUACAGUUGGCUCGGCGCCCGUUGAUAAUGGGAGUGGCAUCCUCGCAUGCUUUUUUGGCUGAUUCUGCGUCCUUAAAGGUCACCUAUCCAAAAAGAGGCGAAAAAAGAUUGAGUCAUUUUACAUAAAUUAAAAAGUAGUAAACGUUAAUUUGUCAUACACUAAUCUUGUAAAAAUAAAUGUGAUAGAGAUUUAAAUAAGACAAGGAGAAUUGAUAACAUACAAAGCCAUAGCCUUUGGAUCUUCCGGUGAGCUUAUCGGAGAUGAUGACAGCUUCCAAGAUGUCACCAUACUUGUCAAAGUGCUCUUUCAUGGCUUCCUUAGGAGUUUCCCAUGCCAACCCUCCUACAAACACCUUUGUUAGCGUCGUAUCCCCCAAGUUGUUGUGGUUAAUAUUGCUCAUCGUCAUGUAGAGAGAGAGAGAGAGAGAGGACUAAUGAAUGAAGUUUAGUUAGACUUCAAGGACAGAAAAUAGAGGACUUAAUUGAAAAAACAACUUCUUCAAGACUAUAUAAACUUGAGAAACAAGAGGGGGAGGAGGAAGUUAAAGGGGGAUCGGGAGAUUGAUGGAAUAUUCAUCAUAUAAUAUACAUACAUUAAUAAUAUAUAUAAAAGGAUUUUUAAUACUAUUAAUAGCCUAAAAAUAUAUAUUCACAAGUAACUAACUUACCAUAAAAAAUAAAAAUAAAACUAGGAAUAUAAUCUAAAACAUAGGAAAAUUACUUGCUUCAAAAUGUUACUCUCCCUGUCCUAAUUUAUGUGGCGUUUUUCUAGAGUCAAACAGUUUAAUUUUGAUCAGAAAUUUGCUCAUGGACUCUUAAAAAAAUUUGAAAUACAAUUUAUAUAUUUGUAAAUUACGUAAAAAGUACUAUAAAUCACAAUAGUUUUUAAAAAAAAUAUAAACUUAUUUGAAUUUCAAAAUACGAAAAGUACCACAUAAAAUGAGACAGGAGAAGUAUAUAACUUUUUAUAAUGUCAGUGUAUAUAAAUUAAACUUUGACGCCCGCACAUAUACAAUAUACACAUAGAACUUAGUUGUAUAUAGUGCAUUGUUGUGUGUGGGUGGGGGUGGGGUAGGGUGGGGAUGGAGGGGGGUGGGGUGGAGAAUAAGAAAAUGGAGAAAAGCAGGAGGACAGAAAAGCAUACAGUUGGACGAUGGGUUGAGGCCAUCAACGUGGUCUCCUUUUCUUCAUCAUCUUCUAUCUGGCAUUGUGUAAUAACUAACAUGCUACUCUUCAUUAAACUUUACUUACCAUAUUAAAAGCCCUACCUUUGUAUGUUGUGCUGUAAUAUUUCCUUUCCAAAUUUGGAGGCAUAACAAUUUAAGUUUAUGGUCCACGCGUUAUUCCUUUCCUUUAACCAAUUUAAGAAUUUUUAUGUAUUUGCCUCAAACUUCUAAUGCAUAUUUGGCUAGAAUGGGCAAAGGAGUAAAUAUACCCCUUCACUUUGCGAUUUAGAACAUAUGUAUUUCUUAUUAAAAAAGUGGUGUAUAUAUAUUCUUGUCGUUUAAUGAAUGGUGCCAGAGGCGGAUCUAGGAUUUCAGAAGGAUGAGUGCACUAUUACGAAAAAAUGCAUCUAACAUAUAAAUUUGAUCGAUUUGACCUUUACGUUCUUAACACUGAACCGUUAAAUUUUAAAAAUUAUAGGUCCAACAUAUAUAAUACUACUAGUUUUAGAUUUUAAUAUACACAUUUGAUUUAAUUAUAUAAAUUUUUUACAAUGCUAUUAUUUUUUAAGGAAUUUUCAAUGUAACACACUUGACAAUUUUAAAAGAUUAAAGCCAAAAAACAAAAGAGAAAAAUGAUUGAAACGCAAAAAGUGUUAUCGAUAACCACUUGGAGGAGUAUUACUAAAAAAACUAAGAUAGAUAUAAGUUUCUAUCUUUGCUUAGAGAGGUGCACUCAAUCAUCAUCGUAUUAUUUAUGUUACUUUUAACAUGGGCUCACACCUCUAUAUUUAAAUAUUUUUUAAAAAAAACAUAACACUACUAUAUAUGAUCUAGAGAGGGAGCAUGGGUUCACAUGAACCCACUGAACCCCCUCUAGAUACGCCUCUGAAUGGUGCAUAUAUACCCUCAUCGUCUAACAAAUGGUGUAUAUAUACCUUUUUCGUUAACAGGCUUAAUUUUUUAAAAAAAACAAUCUUAAAAAUAAUUUUUAAAUUCCCAAAAUAUCACGUCACUUAAAAAAAUUACCUCAUCCAUUUUUCUUACCCACCCAGACCCUACCAAAUUAAAAGAAUCUCAAUCCUUCUUCUAUUCAAACCCAAUCCAAACUCAUUUUAUGAAUGAGUAGGCGAGGAAUUAAAAAAAUUAUUUGGAUCGGGUCUAGAGGUGUGAGAAAAGGGUGAGAUAAUUUGUUGAAAACACGUGACAUUUUUGCAAAAUAAAAAAAUCAGUAUUAUACAACAACAUGCCUAGUGAAAUCUCACAACUGAGAUCUGGGGAGGUAGAUUGUACGUAGACCUUACCACUACCUCGUGAAGGAGGUUGUUUUCGAAAUACCCUCGGCCCAAGUUCAACAAAUCCAGGUGUAAAAAAAAAGGAGACAGUGAAAGAAACAUAACAAGUAACAAGGCAAAGUCUACUAGAAAUUAAGGAGCCAAAAACAACAAUAAAAAGAUGUGAUAAUCAAAACAUAAUAGACAUCAUAUUAGGAUAGAUUAUUGAAAACAAUAAUAAAAAACAGAAAAAGAACUACAAUAAUCCAACUAGUACCAGACAAACACUAGUCAUCCUAAGAAACACAACACUACACUACCUACUAAAUAUCUACCCUAAUACGUGUCAUCCACAUCUUCUUAUCUAAGGUCAUGUCCUCGGUAACCUAAAACUUCAUCAUAUCAUGUCUUAUUGUAACACCCCGUAUCGGAAAGAGGGAAUUAAACCAGAUUUUUGAGAAGUUGCAGGUGUCAGCCACGGAGGCCAACCACGGCUCGUGGGUUGAACCACGAACCAUAGGUGUGGUCCGUGGGUUGGUCACUCUUCCAGAGUUCAGGGGUCCCAAGUCAUGGUCUCUGAUGACCAACGACGGUUCACCAGGACGGACCGUGGGUUAGACCACAGCCCAUUGACUGGGCCCGUCGUGGGUCACUCAGGAAAAGGUCCAAACAUGGACCACAGAAGGGAUCUACGGACCGUAGGUCGGUCCACGCCCCGUGGUCCAGGGUUCCGUCGAUGGCCAAAAUUCUCUGUAUUAGUGACGGAUGUGGUGGAUGGACCGUCCACGGUCCGUUGAUGGGGGUCUCAUGGGUCACUACUGGCAGUUAUUCUUAGGGUUAUUUGGGUCUUUUUCUAAUUAAUUAAUUCCUAUACUAUGUCAUUUUGCCUACAUCUAAACCACCUAUAUAAGUAUUUUUAACCCCAAAAUCCCCCAUUUAAUUCAUUCUUCCUAAAUCCCAAAAGAAAACCAACUCCUCUCAAAUAUUCUCUCUCAAGAACUUGACGAAGAAGAAGAAGAUUUCACCUAGGGUUUCAAGUUAAGGAUCCAAAUUCUCCAUUGAAGAUAGGAAAUUGGACUUGAGGUAUGAUAGCUUUCAUCCAUGGGUUCCUUCCACCCAUGGAAUCCCCAAAUUCCUCUAUUUCAAAUGGUAGGAUUCCACAAUUAGCUAGAGUUUUCUUCAAACACCAUGGGUUCUUUUGAUUAUUGAUCUUAAUGGUUUAAUUAUGUCUAAAUAUGCAUGAAUUGAUAAUUUACAAUGCUUUAUGAUGUAUACCCUAUGAACCCAUGCAAACCCCUAUGUUUUCCAAAUUGUGAUCUCAUAAUAUGAGUUGUUGAUGAUGAAAGAAGAGUUUUAUGAUCUAAAGCAUGAAGUAAUAGAAUUACAUGAAUUUAUGAUAAAAUCCCUAUCUAAUGUUAGAAUUCUAGAUUUGGUGAUUGAAAGUAGCUUUGAACCUUGAAAGGGCAAAGUGUGAGUUUAUGCAUGAUCUUAUGAAACCUAUGUAAUGCUUUAAGGGUGCUUUGAGAGUGAAGUGUCAAUGUUGUUGUUGUUGUUGUGUUGUUGAAAGGUUAUUCUCAUAAAACACUUACAAUCAUGAUGUGAAAGGUUUUCUCACAUAGAAAGGAUUCUUAGGUUGAAAGGUUAUUCUCACCUAAUUGAAUAAAUGAAUAAGAGUUAUCCUAAUGAACUAGCUUGGAUUGACAAGAUGACAUGUCUUUCCAUGGACAAUGAAAAUAAAUAAGAAAAUACUAUUCCGUGAGAAUUAAGCUUAGCAGUGAGUGGCUUGAGAUGGAAGAUAUCUCGUGAGUAGAGGCCGAGUUUCUAGAAGAAGUCUCAUGAGAUGGAAGCUCACCCGUGAGUAGAGGCCGGGUUUCUAGUAGCAAUCUCCUUAUCACAUAACUAUGUGCCCUCAUAGGUUGAUUAGCUAGUGGAUCCACUUAAUCUAGAUGUUCAUGGUUCUACCUUAGGCAAGUAGAACAACCCUUUUCGAUGUAGGAGACACCGGGUGAUCAUGUUUUAGCUCACAUGAUAUCUUUGUCGGUUAAGGCUAGUUCUUUCACAACAAGUUGACUUAUGAACUAAAGUUACUUAAAGAAGUAUCUUAUAUGUGCUCAAAGACAUAAAGAUGAUUUAGCUUGCAUUGACCAUGAUGUUAUUACCUAUGUUUUCCAACUAUUUUUAUUAUGAUGUUUAAACUUGGUAAACUGCUUAUCAUGAAAUGAAAUGUCAUUUUUAGCAUGUUUUAAAUAUUUUUAUGUAGAAUUAUCAUACUUCGUGCAUUUUUGUACUAACUCAUACUCUUGCCUACAUUUUUCCCAAAUGUAGGGUCCGACAGGCAGGGUUUCCAAUCUAGUGGCUAGAGCUUGGACUUUGAUCUCUUUUCGAGCUUGGUGAGUCCUCAUAGUUCGAGGAUGGAUUUCCUUAUUGUAGUUUCACUUUCGUAUUUCCUUUUUGGACAUAAUGUAUGGUCUAUGUCCACUUUCAUUCGAUUGUAAUAGAUGACUAUGUUGAGACAUGAGCUAGACUUCCGUUUUUCUAUAAGAUGUUUUGGACUUAAAUAUUAUUUUUACUUUUUAUUGUUCUAAUGCUUUAUGCUAUGAGGAUUAAGUGGCUUCUAUGGAGUCCUUCGGGGUUCUAUACGCUAUAUUAUAUGUAGGGGGUACCCCUGGGUCGUGACAAACUUGGUAAUCAGAGCACAAGGUUUAGAAUGAUCCUAGGAUGAUGUCCCAUAAGCCGCGUCUAGUAGAGUCUUGUUCAGGAGUGUGAAGCGCACUAGACUUAUGAAUGAGAGGCUACAAGAUGAUUAGGAAACUACACUUUUUUCAUUACUCUUAAGUUGUGCCAUAGAGUUUAACUCUAUAAAGUCUCCCUUCUAAUCCUUACCUUAUGCUCUUCAGGAUAUGUCUAUUCGAAGAGCUUACACUAGAAGGAAUGUGAGGGAGAAUAUGGAACAAGAAGCUCCUACCCAAGCUCCUUCUCAAGCUCCGGUCGAUCCCUUGGCCGAAAAAGUUACUAAUGUAGAGUUUAGAUCGGCUUUUCAAGUGUUAGCCCAAGCCAUGAUGGCUCAAGCCAAUAGAGAGGUGGUAGUCCUCGUGAACCUUAGUGUGGGUACAAUGACUUUAAGAGUGAGAUUUCAUGAGGAUGAACCCUCCGAAAUUUCAUGGCUUCAAAGUUGAGGAAGAUCCUCAAGAGUUUAUUGAGGAAGUCUACAAGGUACUUCCUAUCAUGGGAGUGACUUCGGGAGAGAAGGUGGAGUUGUCCACCUAUCGAUUGAAAGGUGUUGCUCAAGUUUGGUACAAUCAAUGGAAAGAGGCUAGACCGGCGGGAGCGGGUCCUAUUGAAUGGGAAAGGUUCAAAUCCGCUUUUCUUGAUAGAUUCUUUCCCUUUGAGAUGAGGGAAGUCAAGGUGCUAGAGUUCAUCAACCAUCUUCAAGGAAGCAUGAGUGUAAAGGAAUAUGCUCUAAAGUUCACUCAACUGUCCAAAUAUGCUCCAACAAUGGUUGCAGAUUCAAGAGCUAGAAUGAGUAAGUUUAUAUCGGGGGUGUUGAAAUUGGUGGUUAAAGAGUGUCGUACCGCCAUGCUCAUUGGUGACAUGGAUAUUUCUCGUCUCAUGGUGCAUGCACAACAAAUCGAAGAGAAUAAACUCAAAGAGAAGUCUAGAGAGGUAAAAAGGGCUAAGACCGGUGAUGGUAAUUUCCCACAUGCUAGAUCCGAUGGACAUGGUCGUCCUAAGUUUCGUCAAGGGUUUUCCAGUCAAGGUUCCUCUAAUGUUCCACCUAAGUUUAACAAGGAUAGGGUGUCUAACCCUAAACUUCAAGGAGGGAAUGGUGGUGGUUCAUUUUUGGCUAGGUCUACAUGUGCUAAGUGUGGGAAGAAACAUCAUAGUAAAUGCCUAGCCGGCACCGAUGUUUGCUUUAGUUGUGGGAAGAGUGGUCACAAAAUGAGAGAUUUCCCCAUGUUCAUGGAAAAAGGAAGGGAAGGCAAACAAGCUCUUCAUAGCGGUUCAAACUCCAAUGCUCCAAAGUAAAAUCGCUUAUAUGCUCUCUAAUCCCGAGGUGACCAAGAGAGUCCCCCGGAUAUAGUGACCGGUAUGUUAAAAAAAUUUCAACAUGAUGUGUAUGCCUUGUUAGAUCCCGGUGCUACUUUAUUUUUUGUGAUGCCGUAUAUGGCAAUGAGGUUUAAUGCUCCUCUAGAAGUGUAAUUAGAACAUUUUUUCUGUCUGUACUCCUAUUGGUGAUUCUGUGGUGGCUAAGAGGGUUUAUAGAAGGUAUCCCGUUUCCUUGUACCAUAGAGUUACUCUUAUAGACUUGGUAGAACUUGACAUGUUAGACUUUGAUGUCAUUCUUGGGAUGGAUUGGCUGCAUGCUUGUUAUGCCUCUAUUGAUUGUAGAACUCGAGUGGUCAGAUUUUAAUUUUCAAAUGAGCCUAUCCUAGAGUGGAAGGGGAGAAAUUUUAUGCCUAGAGGUCAAUUUAUGUCUUACCUUAAAGCUAGGAAGAUCAUCUCGAAAGGUUGCUUUUACCAUGUUGUUAGGGUGAGGGAUGUAGGUUCUAAAACCUCUUCUCUCAAGUCGAUUCCCGUGGUUAACGAAUUCCCAAAAGUUUCCCCCGAUGAUUUUCCCGGUAUUCCUCCCGAGCGGGAAAUAGAUUUCGGUAUUGACCUCUUCUAGGAUACACAACCUAUUUAUAUUCCUCUUUGUAGAAUGGCUCCGGCGGAGUUAAAAGAGUUGAAGGAGCAACUAAAAGAUUUAUUGGAUAAGGGUUUCAUCCGACCGAGUAUCUUUCCAUGGGGUGCUCCCGUGUUGUUUGUUAGAAAGAAAGAUGGGUCUCUUGUAAUAUGCAUUGAUUAUCGUCAAUUGAAUAAAGUGACCAUUAAGAACAAGUAUCCUCUCCCAAGAAUUGAUGACUUGUUUGACCAACUUCAAGGGGCUAGUUAUUUCUCUAAGAUAGAUCUUCGUUCAGGCUAUCACCAGUUGAGAGUAAGAGGAGUUGAUAUUCCAAAGACGUCUUUCUGAACUCGGUAUGGCCAUUAUGAAUUUCUAGUGAUGUCAUUUGGUUUAACUAAUGCUUCGGGGGCAUUUAUGGACUUGAUGAAUAGAGUGUUUAGGCAAUACCUAGACAUGUUCGUGAUUGUGUUUAUCGAUGAUAUUUUGAUCUAUUCAAGGAGUGAGGAUGAAUAUGUGGACCAUUUGAGAAUUGUGUUGCAAGUUCUUAAGGACCAAUAACUUUUUGCAAAGUAUCACAAAUGUGAAUUUUGAUUAAGGGCCGUAGCUUUCCUUGGUCAUAUUGUGUCAAGUAAGAGAAUUGAGGUAGAUCCUAAGAAGACAGAUGCGGUCAAGAGUUGGCCUAGACCUCUAACCCCUUCCGACAUUAGAAGCUUUUUGGGUUUGGCCGGUUACUAUAAAAGGUUUGUUGAGGGAUUUUCUUCCAUUGCUUCUCCUUUGACGGCUUUGACUCAAAAUAAGGCUAACAUUGUGUGGUUGGAAGCUUGUGAGAAAAGUUUCCAAGAGUUGAACGAUAGACUUACUUCCGCUCCGGUGUUGACCCUACCGGAAGGUACGGAUGGUUUUGUGGUGUAUUGUGAUGCCUCUAGAGUUGGGUUGGGAUGCAUGCUUAUGAAAAAUGGUAAGGUGAUUGCCUAUGCUUCAAGGAAACUUAAGAUCUAUGAGAAGAAUUAUCCUACCCAUGACCUUGAGUUAGCGGCGGUUGUGUUUGCCUUAAAAAUAUGGAGGCAUUAAUUGUAUGGGAUUCAUGUGGAUGUUUUGACCGAUCAUAAGAGUCUACAAUAUGUGUUUAGUCAAAAGGACUUGAAUCUUUGCCAAUGAAGGUGGUUAGAACUAUUGAAGGAUUAUGACAUGAGUGUCCUUUAUCACCCCGGUAAAGCUAAUGUGGUAGAGGAUGCUCUUAGUCGAUUGUCGAUGGGUAGUAUGACUCAUGUAGAUGAAGAAAAGAAAGAGUUGGUUUGUGAUGUCCAUAGGUUGGCUCGAUUAGGUGUUCAACUAGUGGAUUCCACUAAGGGUGUUGUCAUGGUCCAUAGUGGGUCUGAAUUGUCUUUUGUGGUGGAUGUAAAGGCUAAGCAAGGUCUUGAUCCCAUUUAAGUUGAGUUGAAAGAAGCGGUACUUAAGAAGUUCGUACUUAGGUACCAAGCUCGGUUAUGUGUUCCAAAUGUUAAUGACUUGAGGGAACGAAUUUUAGAGGAAGCCCAUAGUUCUCGGUAUUCUAUUCACCCGGGAGCCACCAAGAUGUACCGUGAUCUACGAGAAGUCUAUUGGUGGAAUGGGAUGAAGAAAGAUAUUGUAGGAUUUGUGGCCAAAUAUCCUAAUUGUCAACAAGUGAAAGUUGAGCACCAAAGGCCAUGAGGUUUGUCCCAAGACAUUGUUAUUUCUACUUGGAAGUGGGAAGACUUGAAUAUGGACUUUAUAGUUGGUUUGCCUCGCACCCCGCAACAACAUGACUCGAUAUGGGUAAUAGUUGAUCGGAUGACGAAAUCGGCUCAUUUCCUUUCCGUCAAGGUUUCUUAGUCGGCGGAAGACUAUGCUAAGAUGUAUUUGAGAGAGGUGGUGAAAUUGCAUGGUGUGCCUUUGUAUAUCAUUUCCGAUCGAGGUACCCAAUUCAGUUCUCAAUUUUGGAAGUCAUUCCAAAAGGGUCUUGGUACUAAGGUUAAGCUUAGCACGAAUUUUCUUCCCCAAAUCGAUGGGCGAGCGGAACGUACUAUCCAAACCUUGGAAGACAUGUUAAGGUCUUAUGUGAUUGAUUUUAAGGGUAUUUGGGAUGACCAUUUGCCAUUUAUGGAAUUUGCCUAUAAUAAUAGCUAUCACUCGAGUGUUGGUAUGGCUCCAUUUGAGGCUCUUUAUAGUAUGAGGUGUAGAUAUCCUAUAGGUUGGUUUGAGGUGGGUAAAGUUGCCUUGAUAGGUCCUGAGCUAUUUUAUGAAGCUAUUGAGAAAGUUCGGCUUAUUGGAGAGAGGUUGAAAACGGCUCAAAGUCGACAAAAGUCUUAUGUUGAUGUUAGAUGAAGGGAUCUUGAAUUUGAGGUUCAUGAUUGGGGUUACUUGAAACUAUCACCUAUGAAGGGUGUGAUGAGGUUUGGUAAGAAAGGGAAGCUUAGUCCCCGGUAUGUAGGCCCAUAUCUUUGAGGCGUGUUGGCAAGGUUGCCUAUCAGUUAGAUUUGCUAAAUGAGUUGACAUCAGUGCAUCCAAUUUUCCAUGUCUCUAUGCUUAAGAAGUGUGUUGGAGAUUCGACGUCCAUAACUCCGCUAGAACGGUUGGGAGUUGAUGAAAGCCUCUCUUAUGAGGAAGUUUCGGUUGAGAUUUUCGACCGACAAGUUAAGAAGUUAAGGAAUAAGGAAGUUGCUUCCAUAAAAGUUUUGUGGAGCAAUCAAUUAGUUGAGGGUGCUACUUAGGAGGCCGAGGCCGAUAUGAAGUCUCGAUAUCCUCAUCUCUUUCCCUCAAAUCCUCUCCUAGCUUGAAGUAAUGAGUUCCUCUUGAUUGUUUUUUGUUUAGGAGUCAUGUGUGAUUUAUGUGUUUCUAUGAUUUCGUUAUGAUUAUACAUGUUCAUGAAAAAGCUUAUGUUUUGAAAUAAAUGGCUUAAAUGACUUAUUUUCCUCAUGUUGUUGUGUUUUGAGUAUGAGUUGCCUCAUGACUUAUUGAUGAACAUGUUUUUGAUAUGUUUUUUUAGAGUAAAUUGCAUAUAGGCUCCAUGAGAUCUUGUUGAGCAUUCUUUAAAGCUUGGAGAAGGUAGUUCCUCCUAAGAACAUAAGAAAUGUUGAAAUUUCAUGUAUGAUGGUUGUUAGAUGUAGUUCCUACUUCCUUGUGUUGCAUUUGAGUAUGUUGAGAGUUAGAGUCGAUAGUCCCUCCUCGGUUGUAUGCAUUGCAUUGAUUCGAUUGGGUUGUUAAUUUCUAUCAUACUCUUUUAGAGCCAGUUUAAACCUCAUUCUAGGACGAAUAAUCCCAAGGGGGAUAUAUUGUAACACCCCGUAUCCGAAAGAGGGAAAUAAACCAAAUUUUUGGGAAGUUGCAUGUGCCAGCCACAGAGGUCAACCACGACCCGCAGGUUGAACGACGGACCGUAGGUGUGGUCUGUGGGUUGGUCACUCUGCCAGAGUUCAGGGGUCCCAAGUCAUGGUCUUUGAUGACCAACGACGGUUCACUAGGACGGACCGUGGGUCAGACCACGUCCCGUUGACUGGGCCUGUCGAUGGGUCACUUGGAAAAAGGUCCAAGCAUGGACCACGGAAAGGACCUACGGACCGUAGGUUGGUCCAGGGUUCCGUCGAUGGCCAAAAUUCUCUGUACUUAGUGAUGGAUGUGCAGGAUGGACCGUAGGUCUAUCCACGGUCCGUCGAUGGGGGUCUCGUGGGUCACUGCUGGCAGUUAUCCUUAGGGUUAGUUGGGUCUUUUCCUAAUUAAUUACUUCAUAUACUAUGUCAUUUUGCUUGCAUCUAGACCACCUAUAUAAGUAUCUUUAACCCCCAAAAUCCCCAAUUUAAUUCAUUCUUCCUAAAUCCCAAAAGAAAUCCAACUCCUCUCAACUAUUCUCUCUCAAGAACUUGAAGAUAAAGAAGAAGAUUUCACCUAGGGUUUCAAGCUAAGGAUCCAAAUUCUCCAUUGAAGAUAGGCAAUUGGACUUGAGGUAUGAUAGCUUUCAUCCAUGGGUUCCUUCCACCCAUGGAGUCCCCAAAUUCCUCUAUUUCAACUGGUAGGAUUCCACUAUUAGCUAGGGUUUUCUUCAAACACCAUCGUUUCUUUUGAUUAUUGAUCUUAGUGGUUUAAUUAUGUCUAAAUAUGCAUGAAUUGAUGAUUUACAAUUCUUUAUGAUGUAUCCCCUAUGAACCCAUGCAAACCCCCAUGUUUUCCAAAUAGUGAUCUCAUAAUGUGGGUUGUUGAUGAUGAAAGAGGAGUUUUAUGAUCUAAAGCAUGAAGUAAUAGAAUUACACAAAUUUAUGAUUAAAUCCCUAUCUAAUGUUAGAAUUCUAGAUUUGGUGAUUUAAAGUAGAUUUGAACCUUGAAAGGGCAAAGUGUGAGUUUAUGCAUGAUCUUAUGAAACCUAUGUAAAUGCUUUAAGGGUGCUUUGAGAGUGAAGUGUCAAUGUUGUUGUUGUUGUUGUGUUGUUUAAAGGUUAUUCUCAUAAAACAUUUACAACCAUGAUAUGAAAGGUUUUCUCACAUAGAAAGGAUUCCUAGGUUGUAAGGCUAUUCUCACCUAAUUGAAUCAAUGAAUAACAGUUAUCCUAAUGAACUAACUUGGAUUGACAAGAUGAUAUCUCUUUCCAUGGACAAUGGGAAUAAGUAAGAAAAUACUAUUUCGUGGGAAUUAAGCUUAGCACCGAGUGGAUAUUGACCUUGAGAUGGAAGCUCUCCCGUGAGUAGAGGCCGGGUUUCUACAAGAAGUCUCAUGAGAUGGAAGCUUACCCGUGAGUAGAGGCCGGGUUUCUAGUAGCAAUCUCCCUAUCCCAUAACUAUGUGCCCCCAUAGGUUGAUUAGCUAGUGGAUCCACUUAAGCUAGAUGUUCAUGGUUCUACCUUAGGAAAGUAGAACAACCCUUUUCGGUUUGGGAGACACCGGGUGAUCAUGUUUUAGCUCACAUGGUCUCUAUGUCGGUUAAGGAUAAUUCUCCCACAACAAGUUGACUUAUGAACUAGGGUUACUUAAAGAAGUAUCUUAUAUGUGCUCAAAGACUUAAAGGUGAUUUAGCUUGCAUUGACCAUGAUGUUAUUACAUAUGUUUUCCAAUUAUUUCUAUUAUGAUAUUUAAACUUGAUAAAUUGCUUAUCAUGAAAUGAAAUGUCAUUUUUAGCAUGUUUUAAAUGUUUUUAUGCAUAGUUAUCAUACUUAGUGCAUUUUUUUACUAACACAUACUCUUGCGACACGCCGAGUGGUCACUUACCUCGCCGAGUUUUACAAGACCUCCAGUUAAUAUAGGGGUCCAAAUGGCGGACAAAGUCGCGAUAGCCAACCUAUUCGGCGACUCGCCAACUUGUUCAUGGGCCCGUCGAGUUUAACAGACUCCAACCUGAUAAUUUCUUGAGUCCAACGUUGGUCCAAGUCGGGCUCGCCGACUGGACAUUUUGCUCGCCAAUCACCACUUUUCAAGAACAUUCCAAACUUCCACCUGCACAAUCAACACACCAUUAUUUCAAAAACAAAACAGAAACAGUAAAACUUGGGUUGCCUCCCAAGAAGCGCCUUAGUUAACGUUGUGGCACGAUGCAAGUCCCUACUCAACCCUCACUCCUGGGUAGAGAUGUGAUUACAUAUGGCCCAUUUGGGUCUCCAGUAGCUGAAUCGACAUGGAAUGAGAGACAGACAUUUGAUUCAGCAGUGAGAUAUUCUCUUUUAUCUCAUUCAACACUCUGUCGUAUUGUUCGACUUUGUGGAGAAUGAGUGAGAGUAUCUCUUCUAUUUGUCCACCCUCGUACUCCUUGGGUUUUAUACGCUCGUGAAGGGGAAUGUACCGAUCUUUCUUUUUGCACGGUACCUCCAAUUCCAUAAUCUGUUUGGUCACGAGAUCCAGCAGAGUCAACAGUGUGGCCAAAAUCUGGUCCUUCUCAGUCUCUUUGUUGGUCUUGGUCAUAUGAUCAAGGAGCUGGGCUGCUAUUGCAUAGGGUAGUCGUGUGAGACCACCCAGAGAAAUUUGGUCAGCCAUUCUUCUGUUCUCAAGACCAAGACUGUAUAGAAGCACUUCAGUAGCAUCUCAUCUGGGAUUUCAUGAGUUGGGCAUUACAACAAUAUUGUCUUAAAUGUCAGCCACAACUUAUGGAUUGUCUUACCCUCCAAUUGUUUAAACUUUAGGAUGUUAUCCCUAAGAACCAUCAUUUUUGAAGAAGGGUGACCAACUUGGUUACCGUUACUACUGGACAUGCUUAUCUUCCAUGUUCUAAACAACAAUACAAACCAAAACUAAAAAUAAAUAGAUUCAACUAUAACUAAAAAGAACAAAAUUCAACUUAACCAACGAAUCUUAACCAACACCACUCCCCGGCAGCGGCGCCAUUUUGAUUUAACGUUUCAAAGACACUUCAUCCAAUUCUAAGUGUCAACGAUCGUUAGUCAGUAUAUAACCCAACUAAAUGAGUUGGGGUCGAAUCCCAUAGGGAGCAGUACAUGUUUAAGAUUCAAUAGUAAAGUGUGAACAUGAUCAAAUCAAUCAUAGGAAUAGACAUGAUCGAAUAAAAAUAUAAUUCAAAUCAGGGGUUGACACGAAUGUCAAAUAAGGGGGUUUUGGUUUGAAAUUAUCAACUACANNNNNNNNNNNNNNNNNNNNNNNNNNNNNNNNNNNNNNNNNNNNNNNNNNNNNNNNNNNNNNNNNNNNNNNNNNNNNNNNNNNNNNNNNAAAAAACAAUACGGAAAUAACAAUAAUGAGACGGGUUCUUAGGAUGUGAUUUGAUUACAGGCUAUUAUAGACAAAUGGGUUGUUGCAACUGUUAGAAAAUGGCUAAAAAUAAGUGAGUAAGCUAGACUAUAGAGGAGAUAAACUUUAUCUCGAACAAUUUACCCCGAAUCAAGUUGAUUUCUCUCGAACAUCAACAAGCAUGCAAAAUAAGAACAGCCCACACUUAGUCCAUUUACUCUCUUGAGCUGAAUGUGUUAAAAAGGGUUAGGAUUCACUCUCUCGAGCUGAACCCAGGCCAACCCAAUACCCAUUGACCAUCAAUCAAGCACCUUAGUUCUAAAACCUCUCUCGAGCAAGCCAAGAACACAAAGGUGGAAUCACAUUUGCAACUGCAAUUCCUAAAUUAACCUACAAUAAAUGAUUGAACUCACUUUUAAAUAGUAAUUAAACUAACAAUUAACAAUACCCAUUAGCUAAAUCAGCCCAUAAUUACAUAAUCACACUCCAAGAAUUGGGGUUUUAGCUAGACAUCAUUAAAAGAUAAAAAUCGUUACCAAAUUGUUUUUCUAUCAACUGGGUAAGAUUGAUUUUGUCUUUACAAUGUUCCAAUUCGAAGAAUAUCAAAGACCCACUUCCAAUUUCUCAGAAGUGAAGAGCUUCGAUUAUCCAAAGCUUAGGAAAAACUAGAGAAAACUCUCCAAAAACUCUUAGAUAUCCAGUCUCAAAUUAAGAUAAAAAUUGAUACUAAACUAAAGAGAAAACUCUCCAAAAACUCUUAGCUAUCCAAUCUCCUAUGAAUUAAGAUAAAAAUUUAUAAAAAUUGAUACUAAACUAAAUGUUCAAAAAUGUAUUUAUAGUCGCCAAAAAUGUGCUGCGAAGAGCCACUCGCACAGUAAGUCGGGCUCGCCGAUCCACUCGCCGAUCCCUCCUUUGGUCAAUUCCAUCACCUUUCUGCCUUGGCCUUCAGCAACCUCAGGUUCUGUAACUUUGGGCGAUCCAACACUGCAUUACGGAAUCACUCGACGAAUCACCGACUGCUCCUUUCUCUUGCCAACUAGGUUCUUUCCUUCAGGGAUUGGCACACUGGAACUUUAGGCGGUCAGUUGGCCAUUCGGCGACUCGCCAAAUGGACUUGGCGAUCACCAGGCUCUCUUUUCUACAUUCUUUUAGAUCGUUUUGUUCCUUUUUGUAACUUAGUGUCCUUGCGUUGCUCCUCAAUCCAUAAUCCUGAAAAUCAAGGAAUUUACAUCAGUUAUUAGCACAAAAUAAGCAUUUAAGGACACUAAACCUAUACAAAUAAAGCUCUAAAUGAGUCCAAAUCUCGAACUCAUCAGCUAGGCCCACUUUCAUUCGAUUAUAAUAGAUGGCUAUGUUGAGACAUGAGUUAGACUUCUGCUUUUCUAUAAAGAUGUUUUGGACUUAAAUGUUGUUUUUACUCUUGAUUGUUCUAAUGUUUUAUGUUAUGAGGACUAAGUGGCUUGUAUGGAGUCCUUCAGGGUUCUAUACGCCAUGUUACAUCUAGGGGGUACCCAUGGGUCAUGACACUUAUCACCUUUUCUCAAUCUAUACUUCUUCGGUCUACAUUUGUUUCUCCUCAUACCCUUUAUAACAACACAUCGCACCUCCUCACUCUAGCGUCUAAGAAUCUUCUAUUCACGUGUCUAAACUAUCUAAAUCUUGCUUUCAUCAUCUAAUCACCAUAGAGGUCACUCUCGUCUUAUCCUGGAUAUCCUCAUUUCUAAUAUUAUAUUACUCGUAGUAUGGCCACAUAUCCACCUCAGCAUCCUCAUCUCCGCAACAUGCAUCUUCUACACAUGAAAUUUUUUGACUGGCCAACACUUUAUCUUCUACAACAAUGUCGGUCUAACCACCACUCUAUAGAACUUACCUUUGAGUUUUGGCAGUACCUUUUUAUCACACAAGACUCUAGAGGCAAAUCUCCGCUUCAUCGAGGCUACACCAAUAUAAUGUGUGAUAUCAGUAUCAAUGUCACCACUCCCCUAGAUUAUAGACUAAAGAUACUUGAAUGUGUCUCUCUUAGAGAUAUUUUACGUGUCAAGCCUCAUUUCCACGCCAACUUCAUGCAUCGCAUCAUUGAACUCACACUCCACAUACUUUGUCUUGGUCCUGUUCAACUUGAACCAUUUAGUUUCUAAAAAUUUUCUUCACACCUCUAACUUAGCAUUAACUCCAUCGCACGUCUCAUCUAUUAAUAUUAUGUCAUUCGCAAAUAGUAUACACUACAACACCUCAUCUUGAAUGUCUUACGUCGAUUCAUCCAUUACCAAGACAAAUAGACUAAGAGUUGAUCCCUGGUGUAACUCCAUCUCCACAAGAAAUUGCUCAAAAUCUCCUCCCACCAUUCUAAUCCAUGUUUUAUCUCCUUCGUACAUAUCCUUUAUUUCCCAAAUGUAGGUCACCAAUUCACCCCUUUCCUCCGGACAUAUCCACAAGACUUCCCUCGCGACUUUAUCGUAGAUCUUUUCAAGGUCAUGAAAACCGUAUGUGUAACACCCCGUAUCCGAAAACAAACCAAACCAGCAAAUUUCCAGAAGUUGCAGGUGCAACCCAUGGUUGCCACCCACGGUUGCCACCCACGGACCGUAAGGUGACCCACGGCCUAUUCUGGAGGUCUGUGGAUGGCCACAUGCAACCCUCUCCAGAAACUCAGACAAAAACCAUUCUAAGGCAUGACCCAUGGUCGGACAGGACAAAUUGUGGAUCAGUACACGGAUCGUCGAUCCGUCCGUAGGUCAAGACCUUCAGGACCCCUCAGAACCUGGUCCCUGAAGUCGAUCGACGGUCAGACAAGACAAAUGUGUAUCAUUCGACGGACCGUCGAUCGGUCCAUAGGUCAAGACCCUUAGGACCCCCCAGAACCUGGUCCUUUAAGUCGAUCGACGGUCCGAAAGGACGGAUCGUGGAUCAGUCGAUGGACCAUUGAUCCGUCCGUAGGUCAAGACCAUCAGAACCUAGUCUCUGAAGUCGAUCGACAGACUAACAUGACGUAUUGUGGAUCAGUCCACAGAUCAUCAAUCCGUCCGUAGGUGGCUUCAGCAGAUUUUAAGUUAUGGGUUGUUUGGCUUUUUUUCCUAUGCGUUGGACACCUAAACUACGUCGUUUAACCCCUAAACUACGUGGUUUUGGUCAGUUUUAGCCUAGUAAACUAAUUAGAACCUAACCUAAUCAGUUAUUUACCAAAAAUUCAUCAAACUUAGAGCAAAAUAAAGGAGAAAGUCGAGCAGCCCUAGUUCAAGAACGCAACGAGUUUUCAUUAGUUCCAUCCCCGAAAUCGAAAGAUUUCUCCAUGAAUUUCGUCACCACGUAUGUGAAAUUUCACUAAUGGGUUCCUUUCACCCAUUAGGUCCCUAGAAUUCAGUCAGAUUCUUGAUUCCCUUAAUAUUAUCCAGACCUAGAGUUUUUAGAAUGUUAGAAAUUGUUGGGUUUUAGCUGUUAGAAUGAUCCAAAUCAGAUUAUCAUGUUAUUGCUUCGCUUCUUGUAUGAUAUUCAGAACCCUAGCUAUGUAGUUCUUUUAGUUCAUGAAUUACACAUGCUAGGUUAGUUAUUUCAGAUAUACAUGCCUCAUAUUUGAAUGUUUCAUUAUCAGUACAUUAAUGUUGCAUUUUCAGUUAGCAUGUCAGUAUUUUGAGCUAUCCAGUAUUACAGCAGUCAUAAAUUGUUAAUUACAUAAUAAAUUGGGAGUAGCUUAAUAUCAAGUGCACUAGGGUCAGUCACCCUCAAGUCCUAGAACUACGUUCCCCGUAGGUUGUAAUCCCCUCUAUGGGCAUCAUUUUAGUGAUCACACCAGUCAUGCAUCUAUACCUCUGGCAGGGUAUAUUAGGUCCUCUCGAUGAGGCGUAUACAUUGGACUCCACGUUUAGCUCACGUGGUUUUAUGUCGGUUAUUAGUAACUCCCACAGACAGUCAGAUUCUAGUGUAGUGACCAGGUUAUCAGUUACAGUUCAGUAUUCAGUUUCAGUAUGUAUAAACUUGGUCAUUGCAUCCAGUUAGUUCAUGUUCAUUAUUCUCAGUAUAGUAUCAUGCUUAUCUCUUAUUAUUGCUCAGAUAUAUGCUUUGGUUCAGUUAUGUUUAUUGUUCAGCUUUAUUCUAUCAUGCAUGCUCAGUACCUUUCAAGUACUGACGCAUACUCUGCGCUACAUCCUCUCAUGAUGUAGGUUCAGGUUCUCAGCUUCCAGAUCAUGCAUAGAUCGGUUCCCGAUCUUCAGCUCAGCAGCACCAGUGGUGAGUCCUCAUUCUUCGAGGAUGACAUACAUGUUCAUUUGCUUUUAGUCUUAGUUUCAGUUUUUGCUAGAGUUAGUUGGGGCAUGUCCCAACACUUCUAGUCAGUUAGAGGAUAUUUUCAGACAUAGUUAGAUUCAGCUUUAGCAUUUGAGUUUGACCUUUCAGUUGUUGUUAAACUCUCAGUUUAUAUAUAUUCAGAUAGUUUAUGGGUAUCCCCCAUCAUUGCAGUUUAUCUUAUGAUUUAGCUUCCGCACAAUAUUUCUUUACUUCAGUUUACUUUAGUAUGCUUAUGAUGUGCCAACAUGGUUAGCUUGGGGUCACUCGUAAUCCUAGGUCCCGUAUCCGUGUCCAAGGGGUAGCUUCGGGGCAUGACAAUAUGUAAGUCCUUCCUUUUUUCGAUAUUUCUCUAUCAAUCACCUCACCUGAUAGAUGACUUCUGUGGGUGAUUGUCAUGGCAUGAAUCCAAACUGAUUCUUGAAAAUAGACAUACCCCUCAUCUCCAUCACUCUCUUCUAUAUUUUCAUAGAGUUUGACUUAACAACUUAAUUUCUAUAGUUAUUGCAAUUUUAAAUAUCACCAUUGCUCUUGUACAAUGAAAUCAUCGUACUCCACCUCUAUUUUUCGAACAUCUUAGCAGUCCUAAAAAUGACAUUGAACAAGCUAGUUAACAAUUCUAAACCCACUCUAUCCAUGUUCUUCCAAACUUCACUGAAAUCUCAUCUGGUCAUGUCGUUUUUUCCCUUUACAUCCUACUUAUUGCAUGUUUCACCUCUUCCACUUUAAUACAUCUACAAUAUCCAAAAAUUUGAUGCAGUGCUCCAACUUCUCUAGUAUAGAUCGGUAAUUUUCUUUAAAAAUAUUGAUAAUUAUGGAUGCAAAUUAAGCAUUUCAUUUGUAUUAUUUGUGUGUAGUGAAUAAUCAAAUAUGCUAUUGAUGGCGGCUUGAGACAAAAUGACAUUGCGAUGGGUGCCUUGACAAGAAUAAUGAAGACAAACAUAAAGUAAUCAUUUUCUUCAAUGGAUUUUUAAAAUUUUAGGCAAUAUAAUCAUGAAUUUUAUGCAUAAAUAAUCAUAAUAUUUUCAAUAGAAUUAAUUAUCUUUCUAAUGAUUUUUUUCUCCAAAAAUCUUCUUUGGUUGAUCCUCCGAUGAGUUUGAGCAGGAAAAUUAUGAAGUUUAAAUUGAGAAAUUAUUAACCUUUCGAUGUAAACCAUCUUCUUUCCUUUCUAUUACUUUUUAGAGUUCUUCCAUAAGGGUUUGAAUAUGCAUCCAUGGGUAAAGAACUGUUGAAGAAGAAGAUGUCAAAAUAAAGAAAAAUGUGAAAACAUUUUUAAAAAAUUGGGGGGCCACAAAUAAAGAAACAAUUUUUUUUUUAUUAUUGACAUAAUUAACACUUUCUUCACAUAAUCUUUAGGAUCAUGCAUCUCUUCUCCAUAAUCUCCUCAUCAAAUCUACGUCUCGACACAGAGAACCUCUCUAAAACAAUUUUCCAACAAAAAUCUUCUGUCAAAAAUGUUGCGGCUAGAACUACACCCGCCAAGAUGAACACCCAAUUUUUAACCUGGUUCAAUCAUUGAUUAUCGAACCACUGGACCUGUCUCCAUCAUUGAAUCUAGCGCUGAUACCACUUGUUAGGACCGAACAUAAGCAGGUGUAAUGCGGAAGCUAGCAAAGCAAACCUUGAAAGACCAUGAGUAAGAAGACAAACGAGAAAUAUACCAAAAGACACAAAGAUUUAACGUGGUUUGGUCAAUCGACCUACGUCCACAAAGGAGAUGAGCAAUCCACUAUAAAUAUGAGAGUACAAAAUAUAGAGAGAAAUAACAUCAACCAAUUCCCUCGGAAUACAAGGAGGUUCACAAAAUUCUCCCCCACAACCAAAACUCUAAAAACCCUAGGACUACAUUGUGAAAUCUGAUUAAGUUAGAAGGAACAAGCCUAUACUUAUAGAGUCCUAAAACUUUUCCUACAAAAAAAAAACUAGUCAAAAUAUUAAAACAUUUUCCUAAAAGGAAAACCUAUUUAUGGUAAGAAAUCAGGGUAAAUAAACCCCAACAGAAAUUAUAAUACUAAUUAUAUAAUGAUCAAUAAGAUAGUGUCACAUGUUCAAAUUUGUCUUUUCACAUUUUUUUUCUUCUUCUCACGCACCUUAAGGAAGGUGAAGAAACUUUCUCUACCAUGUCAUCUUCAAAGGGAGCAUUAAUACCACUUUAAACAAGUUCAGGUGUGUAAUAGAUCAUGAGAAUAGUUUAAAUGUGUAUCUGACUUUUCGAGACAAGUUCGGGGGGAGGGGGGAGAAUCUAUGCCUUUUCCCUUUAAAAUUUUACAAACUUAUUUGUAAAUUUUAAAAAAAAUAUUAUUUUAAGAAAAAAUUAAUUAAUUUUAUUUUGAUUUUAUAAAUUGAUAAGUGAUUUGAGAUAAUUAACUUAUGGUGAUGUAAAUAACUAAGGGAGCAUGUGAGAAGUUAAAAUAGAUUGAAAAUGUGGUGUCCUUUAUGUUGAAAAAAGCUGCCAUGUCGAUGAUGAGUGGGUCCAUGUGAUCAAAUAUUUCAAUUUCCAACUUCAAAUUCUUGACUUUGACCCUUUUCUUGCCUACAAAUCUCCAAGAGCCUUCAAUUGAAUAUGCUGCCAACUGCAAAAGAAUUGUUUAUCAACCACUAACAACAUGCCACGUCAACAUCCAUGUUAACUAGAUCUUGACCAUAUUUAAGAAUGUCAUGGGAUCAACUUGUUCCAAUAAUUCACUUAAUUUAGAAGAGGAACCUAAUAUUAUAAAAUGAAAAAAUUAGACACAAAAUGACCAUUAUGCCACUUUAGAUCAAGGUCCAUGUUUGAAGCACUUCCUCCUCCUUCUUCUUCCUCCUCUUUUCUUGCUUUCAUUCCUUCCUCAUUCUUUUUUCAUAUUUAGACUUUAAAAUUCAAAUUUAAAUUUGGAUGUACCGCAAAUGAGAAUAGUGGAUAAAUAUUUAAAAACUUGAAGUAUUGAGAGGAGCUUAUAUAUAUAUAUAAUAGGAUUGUUUAGAGGAGAUUUGAGUUGGUCCGGAUUGGAAGACUCCAUGUCCAGCCAUUAAAAUGGCCUAAUUUUAAAAUAUGAUGUGCCGCAAUCGUGAAUUGUUUCGAGUGAAUAAUAUAUCAAAAGUCUUGAAACGUUAAGAGGAGCUCAUAUCUGAAAUUUGAAAUUGUUUAGAGGAAAUUUUGAGUUGGUGGGAUUGAAAGAUUCCAUUAGCCAUUAAAGCUUCUUCACAACUUCAUUUUAAAAUUCAACAUGCCGCAAAUGUGAAUAGUUUCGAGUGCAUAAUAUAGCAAAAGUCACGAGAACAUUGAGAGGGGGUCAUAUUUAAAAUGUAUGUUGCUUAGAGGAGAUUUAAAUUGGUUGGGAUUGAAAUUGCAAUGUAUAAAUAUUGUAUAAACAACGUAUAUGAAUGUAUAUACAUCUUUAAUACAUAGUUAUACAUCACAUACACAUAGAGGCGAAUCCAUGAUUUGAAGACUUCGGGUGCACCAAAUAUGAUCUUUAAGCUAAACUUAAAAUAAAAACAAUGAAAUUGUGCUCUAGUUGGGUUUGAACCCGGUCUCAUGGGUGGUUCUUCUAUCUUGUACCAGCAGCAAAAGAGCACUCCUAUACUCCUUCGGGGUGCAUUGGUAAAUAUAUCUUAAUUUCUAUCAGUUUCUUAAGAUAGAUAUACAUAUAUACACAUGAUUUUUUCCUAAGUUAAUGGGUGCACAUGCACCCCUCCUGGGUCCUCCUCUCUCUCUAUCUCUCUCUCUCUAUAUAUAGUAUACAUUAUUUAUAAAAUAUAAAUACGUUACAUAUACGUUAUGUAACUAUUUUUACAAUAUUGAUACAUUACAUAUACAUGUGACUAUAUUUGUUGGUUUUUUUUGUCACCCACACAAUUACUUAAUUUGGCCCUUAUAAAAUGGCUCUAAAUAUAAUGUGCACCUUUCUUCUCUACUUUAAGAUAUAACGGAAUCUCUUAAACGUACACAAGAAAAGAGAUGACAACUACACAAAACAAAGAUAAUUAUAUUUGUCCUUGAUCAAUUGUAAUUUUAACACGAUGAAUUAGGAGUCGCUGUAAACUAUUCUGUGGAGGAAGCUCGUGUAACACAUUUUCUGUUUAAUGGAUUGUAAUUCUAUUGUUGAAUUUCAAAGAUAAAAUUUACAAAUAAAAAUUCAUUUUGCGAAUUUGGGGUAGGAAAAGGGAAAAUGAGGGAGGGGAUUACAAAAACGAGAAAUUGAACCCUCGUCAAUAAAGUGAAAGUUCAAAUAGUCAAUCAACUGAUCUAUUAAGAUUCUCAUUAAAUUCACACUUAGCAUAAAAUUUAAGAAAUAAAUUUUUUUGACACACAAAGUAUCCUUAUUAUCGUGUCAUCUACAAAAUCUUAUGUCACUCCUAAAAAACAUAUCAUUUACGAAAAAACUAAACCACUCCGAUCCUCAAAGCAUGAACACAUGCAAAACCACAUUUUCAGAGAUAUCCCAUAAGAUUAUUUUAUCACACUUUUUAUGGAAUUACUCAUCCCACCAUUUACAAUAUAAAAUAAUUCUACGACUAAGUAAUGCUCAUUAUCAAAUACAAAAUAAAAUAAUCUCAUAAAAUAUUAUGAGAUUAUUAUCCCUAUUUUACCCACUAAACAACCUUUAAUUGUGUAUAGUCUCUAAUCAUAAAUAGAGUUACAUUUUUUGCAUAUUCGCAUUAGUAGUUUAAUCCAAAGAUGUGAGAAAUAUGAUAGGAGGGGAGGGGUUACAUUUGAAUAAUUGAAUGUCAAAUGAUUCUAAUUAGUAAUUACCAUAACCUGUUAAGCCAUUUAAUUAAAAUUUUAAGUGUGAUUUUUCUAUUAAUAUAUAUAUGAAUUGAUAGUAUAAAUAUGAAAGCGAAACAAUAGUUUAUUAGAAAUUGUUUUUAAUUCUAUAGUACACAUAUACUUUAAAAAAUCGAGUUAGUUCCAAAAGAAUAAAUACAAAAUGUCAACAAAGUUGAAUUAAAGUAGUUGAUGCCAAAUCCAUAUAGAUUUGAAACCAGUAGAGGUGUGACAAGCACUCUUUAAGUCAAGACAAAUAUAGGGAAUUUCAUUUUUUUUCCUAAGUAUAUAGGCUUAUGCUAUUCUUGGAGACGUGAUCUAGUAAAAAAAUAUUGGUUGUGAUUGGAGGCACGUCAUAUUAGUUGGAAGUCUCCCUCUGAUUAAUCUUUUUAUUUUAUUCCAAUCCAAAAUAGUGCUAUUCAUGCAUGAAAGUAAAUGGAUUUUUCUUCCGGAAAACAACAGUUCAAUAGUAUAUGAAAAGAUGUGCCCUGUCAAAAGGGAGGAACUUGUGGUUCUGAUUACAUUUAUUCAAGUUUCUUUCAAUAUCUUUUAGGCCCAUCGCAGGCCAGAAAAAUGCAUUUCAUGUCUAUCUCAUUCAAUGGAAAAGAAGAGGACAAAGAAUAAUGAUGUUAUAAUCCAUAUUAAACUUGACUAGGGCAUUAGUUUGGAUCGCUGAAGAAACCGUUGAUUGAUGGCAUAAUCUCCGGAGACUUGUUUCGAACAAACUUCCUUAGAGCAUGCUCUGCAUAUUUCUCCCCUUCUGAAAAAUUAUCCAGCACUCCUGCUGCCCUGUUUUCUGGUUGGUGCAUAUAUUGCAUUCCACAGAUCCCUACAGCAACGCCUACGGCUGCAAAAAGUGGAUACACCUCGGGCCUCAGCCAUCGGAAGCCAUAGAAAAACGGGGGAAAGAACACGCAAACUUUACGAUCUUUUUGAGACU